UUUUAAGAAGUUCGUCGAACAUGAUAUUGAAGCUAUCAAAGAGGGGUACCCCUUAAAAA
rnacentral:tRNA from 1 species